UACGUAGGGUGCAAGCGUUGUCCGGAAUUAUUGGGCGUAAAGAGCUCGUAGGCGGUCUGUCACGUCGGCUGUGAAAUCCCGAGGCUCAACCUCGGGUCUGCAGUCGAUACGGGCAAACUAGAGUAUUGCAGGGGAGACUGGAAUUCCUGGUGUAGCGGUGAAAUGCGCAGAUAUCAGGAGGAACACCGGUGGCGAAGGCGGGUCUCUGGGCCGGGCCUGACGCUGAGACGCGAGGGCGUGGGGAGCGAACGGGG
rnacentral:rRNA from 1 species